rnacentral:lncRNA from 1 species
AGGAAUGGGGAAAUGCAUGCCCUCAUCAUUUUCGUGGGAGUUACAAACUGGAAUAUGAUAUGUCUUGGACGAAAUCAGAAGAUAUUGAGAAAAGAGGACAGGACUUAGCAGAAAUCUCACGUUUAUUAAACAGCAAGAUACCUUCAAUUGAAUAUAUUUGUGACUCUGUGAAGAAAUCAGAUGAAACAGAUAACAACGACGCAUCCUAACUGUUUAUAUACUGUAAUUUCUAAGUGAUAUAUAAAGCAUGAGAGACUAAAAUACGAAUGCAAGUAAUCAAGUUUACCAACUAUUUUGCUAAUAAUCCCCGAACCAACGGCGCGGAGCGCCGUUCCGGCGUAAGCCCGGGGUGAGGGUACUAAUUCCGCCCGGCUAUUUACACCCGGGAGGUAGCUACUUAAUUGAGGUUCGACUAGUUAAUUUUGUGAACAUUUAACCCAUAAGCGCCAGCGCUCUAGCUCCCCUUAAAAAGUAAAACCGUCUGGUGUUACACAUUGAAUCAAUAAAGUAGGGCGCAAUUAAAUAGACCAGUAGGCUUGGUAUAAUGUUGUCGUAUAUUAAUGUAAAAUAGUAUUAGUAUAUAACACAACAGGGAGUGGCACAUUUGCGUGAUAACACUCAUUAGGGCCAUUCAUACGGGACAAAAUAAGUCGCGACUUACAUAAGACGCGUCUUAUAUAAGCAGAGUUAUCGCAUAAAUGGUUCUCUACGGCUUUAUUCUUAUUUACUUGCUAUAGCUAUGAUGUUGUUUCGGUUGUUUUUGUUUUAAUAUGCAAGGCUAAUAAUUUUACGUUGUUUCAAGUUUCGGACAUGUGUAGUUAAGACGCGACUAAAAUAAGAACAGCUAAAAGUCCUGUUCUUAUAUAAGACGCGUCUUAUCCAAGACGCGUCUUACAAAAGAAUUUUGUACCGUUUAUACGACAAACUCGCGUCUUAUUUAAGUCGCGUCUUAUGUAAGUCGCGUCUUAUUUUGUCCCGUAUAAAUGGCCCUAUUGUCACAGAUGGAUUUUUUAAUAAUUAUGUCAUGUGCGCCUGUUCAGCCUGGGAGCCUCACUUUCAUGAAUCAAGACAAAAUGUGAUUGUAUCACUAUUCAUGGGAAUUUGUUGUUUGUAGGGUUGUUUUCCAUUUACAUGGAAAUUCCGGUGAUUCCAUACGGAAAGUAAAUGAAACGAGCAUAUUUCGACGGCCCAACCGGAACUUUUCCGGAACGAACGGUUUGUUUGAAAAGGUUGUCCUCUAAUUGGAACGUUUCAACCGGUGAUUUUUUUUCACCAGUUCCAGGCUCUUCGCGAUUUAAUUCAAACCGGAUGGGUUUUCCAUGUAAAUGGUAAACAAGGUUGUUUACCAUUUACAUGGAAAACCCAUCCGAUUAGAAAUUGUGCUAAUGGUAAGCAAAAUUUUGUGUAGAAAAUCUCAUUCGGUUUAUUCCAUGUAAAUGGUAAACAACCUAGAUGAGGUAUUUAUUUCUGUAACAAGACGCCUUCUCAGGCGUUCACACUGGCCUGAAAAUGGCAGUUUUCGUGGUGGGGUGUAAGGUGUAUUAGAGAAGUACUAUGAGAUAGGGAUACAGGUGAUCUGGACCAUAUAAAUACAACCAAUAAAUAGAAUCCUGAUAGCAACUAUCAACCAUAAUAUACCAAGACGCCGGCUCAGGCGUACCCCCGGCUACGGACAACUCAACCUGACAAGCCAGGCCCACUGUAACUAUGAUCAUCAACUAUCAACCGUAAAUAAUGAAGGGCCAAUAAUAGCGAAGAAAUUAUAUAAUCCUUGAUAUAGUCCUUGAUAUAAUGAUAUGGCUCGUUUGUGGUGCUAAAAGUUCAUAGACAGACGAUUCUUCUAAAAAAUACGGCAAUUUGCUUCCAUUUAUAAGAUAAACUGAUCCCAAGCCCUUAUCUAACCCCAACCAGUAAACAUCUAAUAAACAAUUUGAGAAUUAAAAAAGUGGGGAGUUGGAUCUUGUUCCAAAAACAAAUCGAAGCGUACCAGGUUCCACUUCGCCGCACGCAACGCCACCUCGCUGAAUACAAUCGAACAAAUACAUUUUUAUAGUAAUAUAUGAUGAAAUGGAAAGUAAUUUGGUGCAAAUUAAUGUAAUUAGGUGCAAAUCUAUAAUUAUGCAAAUAAACACAAGUGCACAACGCAUGUUUAUGAGUCUACAACGUAAAUUUACACUUGUUAAUUAAAAAGUCAAACCGUCAAACCUUUA